rnacentral:rRNA from 1 species
UGCCCAAGAGGUCGGGAUAACACCUGGAAACAGAUGCUAAUACCGGAUAACAACAGAUGAUGCCUAUCAACUGUUUAAAAGAUGGUUCUGCUAUCACUCUUGGAUGGGCCUGCGGUGCAUUAGCUAGUUGGUAGGGUAACGGCCUACCAAGGCGAUGAUGCAUAGCCGAGUUGAGAGACUGAUCGGCCACAUUGGGACUGAGACACGGCCCAAACUCCUACGGGAGGCAGCAGGC